AGUAUAUAGGGGACCACAGUCCCACUCCCGACCGGAUCCUAUCCACCACACCCACAAGCAGCAGACCUCCUCCCAACAGAACCAUCGUCCCCACUCCACCAACCACAGGACUCUGACAUCCACUCCACUACCCUCCAACAUCCACUGGAAAGAUAAGUCAAGCUUCAGUACUGAGUCAUGGACAACCACCAAAGAGAACAUGCAUGUCCAGGCAGCAGAAUAUCUAGAAAUUGUCAAUCUUCCUGUUUUGCUUCAUUGCAUACCAAUUUAUAGUGGUUUAAUCCAGCUAUGAUCUGCAGAAAUUCUGCAACAUUCUUGAUCUGGAGUUUCUGCUGUGAAGUAGGAAGGGGAUGCCCCUGACAGGAGACCAAUGUGCCUGCUACUAUAGUUCAAGUCUAUUUUGAUCAAUCAUCCUGCAGACUAGGCUUUACACACUAGACUUGUAUCCUGUCCUUCUGGACAUGGCACCUGCUUCCUGAAAUAGAGACCUGCUCAGAGAUCCCCUUCACUCCUUGCUGUGUGAUGUGUGAACUUUUCUGCAAUACUAUUUUCAUGGAGGUGUAAU